rnacentral:rRNA from 1 species
UACAGAGGUCUCAAGCGUUGUUCGGAUUCAUUGGGCGUAAAGGGUGCGUAGGCGGCGCGGUAAGUCGGGUGUGAAAUCUCGGAGCUUAACUCCGAAACUGCAUUCGAUACUGCCGUGCUUGAGGACUGGAGAGGAGACUGGAAUUUACGGUGUAGCGGUGAAAUGCGUAGAUAUCGUAAGGAAGACCAGUGGCGAAGGCGGGUCUCUGGACAGUUCCUGACGCUGGAGGCACGAAGGCCAGGGGGAGCAAACGGG